GACGAACGCUGGCGGCGUGCUUAACACAUGCAAGUCGAACGGAAAGGCCCUGCUUUUGUGGGGUGCUCGAGUGGCGAACGGGUGAGUAACACGUGAGUAACCUGCCCUUGACUUUGGGAUAACUUCAGGAAACUGGGGCUAAUACCGGAUAGGAGCUCCUGCUGCAUGGUGGGGGUUGGAAAGUUUCGGCGGUUGGGGAUGGACUCGCGGCUUAUCAGCUUGUUGGUGGGGUAGUGGCUUACCAAGGCUUUGACGGGUAGCCGGCCUGAGAGGGUGACCGGCAACAUUGGGACUGAGAUACGGCCGAGACUCCUACGGGAGGCAGCAGUGGGGAAUAUGGAACAAUGGGCGGAAGCCUGAUGCAGCAACGCCGCGUGCGGGAUGACGGCCUUCGGGUUGUAAACCGCUUUCGCCUGUGACGAAGCGUGAGUGACGGUAAUGGGUAAAGAAGCACCGGCGAACUACGU
rnacentral:rRNA from 1 species